UUCAAUCCAUUACACCUAUGGAUGCACUCACCCCGCACACCACCAUGAAGGCAAUGGCUUUAUCCGGGUGACAUCUAGGUCAUCAUUUGAAAGCAAUGAGGUUGCACAGGUGUCACCAAGAAUCUAUUACUGGUGGCAGUGAACAAGAUGGAAAUAAUUUAAGAAUGAAGACCAAACUGGAAUUAGCUGCUGAAGUAUGAAAAUGGGAGGAGCAAAACAGUUAACAAUGUCGUAUGUUAGUCAAGGAAAGCAUCAUUGCUGCCUGUAUUGUAGAGAUGGGUGUGGGAGAACAACACCAUCCACUCCUCAAUGUCUGAGACAUCAACUGAGAUGACCUCUCUAUUGGGAGCAGAUGGAUUACAGGCUUGGUGCCUCACACCCAGGGCAUGGAGAUGGAGCCGAAGCAACUUACCUAAUAUGAUGGCAUAGAGGGACAUCUCCCUGCAGACUUUCCCCAAUGCCUAGAGACAUUCGCCCUACAAAUGUUAUUCAUAUGGACUCCAUUUUGUUAUGUAUUACAUUUGCUGUAUCACCUAGAGGCCACAAUCAGGUUUGAGGAACUGUCAGCCUAGGAGCUGUACAUACAUAUAGCAUGAGACUGUUCCUGCCCUGAAGAGCUUAGACUCUCAAAAGACCAAGGGAAGGAGAGUAGCAUGCAGUGAGCAGUCCAGGUAAUGAUCAAGGAGAUGAUCAAAACUGAGCAGGAGUUAGGGGUAGGGUGAUCGCUCAAGUGAAUUAUUAGUAUGUUUCAAUGGUACUGAAGCUAAGAGCAAAAGCAGUAGUGUGGAGUAUGUGUGAGGAUUACAGCAUCCCCUGUCUCCCAUGCAGUAGGUGGGGAGGGAAUAUAUGAAAAUGCCAGGACCCAAGAUCAAGAAUUCAAGGUAGGAGCUCUGGCAGCUGAGGUCGGUUGGCACAGAUGGGGUUGGACUAAUGUUUUUCCCCCUCCUGCCCUAGAAGAAAAAAUCACUAUGAAUUAUUCCUGCCAUUUGUAGAAACAUCGAGCUUUACAUUUUUGAAGGCUCUGUUAGCAUGACAGAAGGCUAAAGGUGAAUGAGUCUCUUUAAAUGAAAGCUUAGACUAGGCAGAGUGGUGAAUGUAAAACUUGCCAGGCAUCUCAUGGAAGCUAUAACAUGUGCAGAGUGCCUCUUAUAGCUCCCAGAUGUUAAAAAUUCCACCUCUAACUCCAAAUGUUCCCAUCACUCCCAGGUGAAAAAUAGUUGUGUUCCCUAGAGCUCUGUGAGGAUUAGUGACUAAACCAAGAUUGAUGCUUUUACAUCUAGAUAUUUUUAAGUUACAGGUGGACUGAGAGAAUGUUAAAAUAAUUUUCAGAAAGUGAAACGUUACCACUUUUCCCAAUUCCCACAAAUGUAUAAUGUCAAGUUCCAUGAACCUCAAACAUUUAAAACCAAUAAUUCUUCAUAGGCAGAGGAGAAAAUCAGAGAGUUUUUUCCCCCACUUCCUGGGAUGUUAGAGGCAAUGAGGGUGAGGAUUGGUCGCAGACUGGGAAUGUUUUCAACUUUAAUCUGUAUUGGCCAGAUCCUUGGACUUUCCUGCGUCCACUCUGCAUCAGUCCAGAGCACCAAAGGGAAUGUGAAGGUUUCUUAAGGCAGGAACUAGGGAAGGCUCAUCUGCAUAGUGCUAGCAUAGCCAAACCUAUGCCAGCCACUCCUGCCCCUCGUCAAAUAGUUCCAUGGCGUAGGAAGGGUAAGAAGAAGUGAUUGUGGAUCCCUGAGAGGCAUUAUCUGUUUAGUGCAUAUUAGAACAUCCCUGAAGUUGCACUUGUGCCAUCCAGGUGAGUGUUUGGUCCAUAAUAGUUUGAAUAGGUUUGAUAUUGAUACCGUGAAAAUGCAUCUACAUGUUUGUCCCUCCUAUUUCUCUUCUAAAUUCUGAGGUGACGAACUAGAAUGUGUCUGCAAGCUAUCCAAUGUAUAAUGAAAGAAAGAAACUACGAGAUGGGUGUGGUGGGCAGGUCCUCUCAUUGUCAGGCAGUUCCCACACUGCAUUGUUGUCAGCUGAGGUACUGACAGUGGAGAAAGAGAUGUUAGACAAUCGUUUUUGUGCUAGAAAUUCUGUUGCUGAAAGCUGUUUGUUUUCUCCCCAAAUCAGAGUGUUUUUAACCUCUAUUAUUCAUAAGCCAAUGAUCGCCGUUCAAAAUUAAAAAGGAAGUGUUUAUUGUGAUGGGGUGGAGCCCCCGUCGCUGGUGAGAAAGGGUUAAAGACAGUUACACUUACUUCAUCUGGAAAAUAAUGUGGUAGUUACUUGUCAGCCAGAGAUGGAGG